rnacentral:rRNA from 1 species
AAAGCUCAAAUUUAAAAUCUGGUGGUCCUUGCGGCCGUCCGAGUUGUAAUCUGGAGAAGUGUUUUCCGCGCUGGACCGUGUACAAGUCUCCUGGAACGGAGCGUCAUAGAGGGUGAGAAUCCCGUCUUUGACACGGACUACCAGUGCUUUUGUGAUACGCUCUCAACGAGUCGAGUUGUUUGGGAAUGCAGCUCAAAAUGGGUGGUAAAUUCCAUCUAAAGCUAAAUAUUGGCGAGAGACCGAUAGCGAA